UGAAGCCGCCGCCGCCGCCGCCUUCCCAUUGCCAUCGCCUCCUCUCUUCUGUGCACCCCGUGCCUGCCAUCCCCUCAAGAGAAAUUUCCUUGUGCUGUGCCCGCGCCGCGUUUCGUCGUGCUAGUGAUGUCCGACCUCGCCGAUAAGAUCCGCCGACAGGUGGAGUUCUACUUCAGCGACGUGAACGUCGCCAAGGAUGUCUUUCUCAAGUCGAAGAUGGCCGAGGACCCGGAAGGCUUCAUUCCGCUGGAGGUGCUGCUCACCUUCAACCGUCUGAACAGCCUCACGAAGGACCCGAAGGUGCUCGCCGAGGCGCUCGCCAGCAGCGACAAGCUCGUCAUGAACAAGGACGGCCUGUCGGUGCGCCGCAAGGACGCCCUGCCGGAGUCCAUCCAAACCGAUGAGCAGACGGUGUACGUGAAGCCGGUGCCGGCGACGGCCUCGCUGGAGCAGCUGCAGGAAUUCUUUAGCGCUCACGGCACCGUGCUGGCAGUGUGGCGCCGCUACUUCCAGGGCGGCAGCAAGGACGCGCCGGUGGAGAGCCGCACGAAACCGUCCGUGUUCGUGGUCUUCGCCAGCAAGACGGAUGCCGAGAAGUUUGUCGCGGCGCCGCCCCAGUACGACGGCGUGCAGCUUAGCGCGCAGAUGAAGACCGCGUACUUGGAGGGAAAGGCGGUGCAGAUGGCUUCCCAGAAGAACCGCAAGCGCGUGCGCGAGGACGGUGAGGACGCUGGUGCGCCGUCGUCCGCGGCCCCCCGCACGCCCGCUAUGCCCACGAACAGCAGCUACCGCAUCUCCGGAUGCGGCGCGAUCGAGAAAUUCUCCGAGGUAAAGGGGCUGUGGCCGGCGGAGGAGCAGAAAGGCGUGCGCUACGUGUACAUGCCAACCAAGGAGGAGGCUCUCAUCAUCUUUCAGGACGCCGAGACAGCCGAGAAGAUGGUCGAGUCCGUCAAGACCCGCGCGGCGACGCUGCAGGGCAAGCAGCCCGAGGUGACGAAGCUCAGUGAGGACGACGAGAAGGCGCUCAUAGCGAACGUAGAGAAGGAGAUCUCCGAGCGUGCGGCGCAGCAUGGCAGCCGCGGUGGACGUGGCGGUCGCGGUGGCCGCGGUGGCCGCCGUGGCGGUGGUCGCCACUGAGCGCCACGGAGUACCGAUAGGUGCAAACACGCGCACACCCACAAGACACCGGUGAGAUGCACUCGUGAGUAUGCAGUGCCUCCGACUUGUUGAUGAUGCCGAGCCAGCGACGGUGCACGGCAUGCUCCACAGAAUCGUCAGAGGAAUCGAAGGCGCGACACCUGUGUGCCUGUAGUGGAGGGGCGUGCGUGUAUGUGCGCGCGCACCCCGAUGACCGAGUACGCGGAAACCCCCUUAACCUUAAGUGUACGACAUCUUUUUCAUUUCCACAGCCCUUUUAGCGGUUCCCUCAUCCGCACAGUACGUCCUUGAGGCGGUAGUAGAUGCCAGCGCACGCGCGCGUCUUUGGUGGCGUGCGCUGGCGUGUGAGACGCCUUUUUGUGACGCAACAUCUGUCGUGUAACGGAGGAGGACGGCAGGAUUGCCUAAAAAAAGGAGAGGCGGGGUAGGGCAUCAUGAGGGGACAGGAGGAUAAGGAGGAUAAGGAGGAGAAGGGAAGACUUGAACCCCCGGCGGGGAACACAACCACGCACAAGCGCUUUCCGACUGGUAUGGGCAGUUGCAUAUCUCUGCGUGCAUGUCCAGUGUGCGGGCCCGGUGGGGGAGCACGCUGCCCGCAUCCACCUCUUCCCUCCAAACCACCACUCCCCCAGUGCCACUCGCCCUGCAUGAGCGUUAACGAGAACAACAU
rnacentral:misc_RNA from 1 species